UACGUAGGGUGCGAGCGUUAAUCGGAAUUACUGGGCGUAAAGCGUGCGCAGGCGGUUUUGUAAGCCAGAUGUGAAAUCCCCGGGCUUAACCUGGGAAUGGCAUUUGGGACUGCAAGGCUUGAGUGCGGCAGAGGAGACUGGAAUUCCUGGUGUAGCAGUGAAAUGCGUAGAUAUCGAGAGGAACACCAGAGGUGAAGACGGGUUGCUGGGCCGACACUGACGCUGACAGCGCGAAAGCCAGGGGAGCAAACGGG
rnacentral:rRNA from 1 species